AUUGAACGCUGGCGGCAUGCUUUACACAUGCAAGUCGAACGGCAGCGGGGGCUUCGGCCUGCCGGCGAGUGGCGAACGGGUGAGUAAUGCAUCGGAACGUGCCCAGUCAUGGGGGGAUAACUACGCGAAAGCGUAGCUAAUACCGCAUACGCCCUGAGGGGGAAAGCGGGGGAUCGCAAGACCUCGCGUGAUUGGAGCGGCCGAUGUCGGAUUAGCUGGUUGGUGGGGUAAAGGCCUACCAAGGCGACGAUCCGUAGCGGGUCUGAGAGGAUGAUCCGCCACACUGGGACUGAGACACGGCCCAGACUCCUACGGGAGACAGCAGUGGGGAAUUUUGGACAAUGGGGGCAACCCUGAUCCAGCCAUGCCGCGUGAGUGAAGAAGGCCU
rnacentral:rRNA from 1 species